UUCGUAGGUGGUGCGGCAAGUUGGAAGUGAAAUCUCUGGGCUUAACCCAGAGGCUGCUUUCAAAACUGCCGUGCUCGAGUGCGAGAGAGGCCAGUGGAAUUGCAGGUGUAGCGGUGAAAUGCGUAGAUAUCUGCAGGAACACCCGUGGCGAAGGCGGCUGGCUGGAUCGCAACUGACACUGAGGAACGAAAGCUAGGGGAGCAAACA
rnacentral:rRNA from 1 species